CUGAUUGAGCUCAACCCAUCUCCCCCUUUCCCUCGACCGCCUCAGGCGUGGCGGCGGCAGCCAAGGGAAUCCCACCCUCCGACCCAUCUCCCCCUUUCCCUCGACCGCCUCAGGCGUGGCGGCGGCAGCCAAGGGAAUCCCGCCCUCCGACCCAUCUCCCCCUUUCCCUGGAUUGCCUCAGGCGCGGCUACUCCCACCCUUCCCGGUGCGGCGGAUAGUGUCGCGGCGCCCACCCCCUCAGACAGGAGCCUCUGCGCGCGGCGCGGCACACCUUACGUCAGGACUACCGGCGCAGCUCCCCUUUUUGUGCUGCCAGCACCCUUCCCGCAAGACCGCUGGCUCAUCCGGCAGGAACGCCGGCCCUCUUCGUGCGGCGCGACGCUCCUCCGGCAGUACCGCCGGCGCCCUCCCUCUGCGUGCGCCGUAGCGCCCCUCCAGCAGGACUGCCAUCCCUCUGCAUGCUGCGCCGUGCCCCUGCAGCAGGACGGCAGGACCAACCCUCCUCAGCGUGCGGCGUCGCGCUUCACUUGCUGCGUUUCUCUUCUUGAUAUUGUCCCACCGGAGUUCCGCCCAAGAUGCAUCCGGCGUCAAUGGGGAAGUCGAAUUCGAUCGCUUCCACCGGAAUUGGACCGGUAGCUCACGUCCGGAGAUGGUACAUGAGUGGCUUUUCUCUGGUGGUCACGCCGUUCUCAGCAAUGGACUGCAAGUGACUGCUGCCCAUCCUGACACCGUCCAUGAACGUGAAGGUGCCUAACUGAUGGUUGGCGUUCCCUCUCCUAAUAAUGUUGAUGUUGGCGCUCCACCUCCUCUCCCCACCGUCCCCACAAGAAACUAAUGGAUUUUUACCCUUUAAAGUCUGCUCCAUCGACCUCCAGUGCUGUUGGGUCUCUCUGCCACAACCCUCAUACAGCUGCCGGCUGUACCUGCUCCAUGACACCCAAGUAGUCAUCUUCGUUCGUCUUCUCUCUCUGCCUAUACAGACGCAUUUGGUUUCUACGUCCUACUGGUACAUAGUCUUUUCAACUUCCCCUCAGUUGCUUUGCUAAUUCUGGAUUUUGUUUGCUGAAUAUCAGUCUGAAUUUAAUUUUCCUUCAUUGAUGUAAUUCUUUACAUGCGAAGAUUAAACACAAUUACACAAACAUGACCAUACUCCUUCCAAAACAUACAAGCAAGAGUAUGUAUUACUUCAAAAGUCUCACAAAAACAAUGUUUUUCCUUCAAAUAUUUACAAUGCCAGAUAUUCUCCUUACACAGCAAUGCAAACAAUAAAAAUCCAGCAACCGACCAUGCAGUGGCGGAGCUACACCAAAAUUACUGGAGGGGCCAAACACAAAAUAUAAACAUUUCAGGAGAUAAACUAUAAUUUUUUCUUCCAACUAAUCUCUCUGUUUAUUUUUUCCUUCAAAGAAUUGUGCAAAGCUGGGGGGGCCACAGCCCCCCAAGACUACGCUAAGCUCCGCCAGUGCGACCAUGAACAGCAGUAGUAAACCAAAGAAGCGGGCCAAAUAGGAGAACUUACACUAUCCUACAGACGAAAAAUAACCUUCAACUCCUACGGCCAAUUUUUCUUCUUUUCAUUACCAUUUUCCCGAGAUUUCAUUGUAACCCAGAAGUGUUCAUCUGGGACAUCUUUUGUUUCAUGCAACAAUACUAUGUGACGUUCGGUGCAACAACCAAAUUUUCUUCUUCUUUUCAUUCCCAUUUUCCUGCGCUUCCAUUGUAACCCAGAAAUGUUCAUCUGGGACAUCUUUUGUUUCAUGCAACAAUACUAUGUGACGUUCGGUGCAACAACGUGCAUAUGCAUUGAUAUAUUAUAAACAAGACUCAUGGCUCAAAAUUUCCUA